UACGAAGGGGGCUAGCGUUGCUCGGAAUCACUGGGCGUAAAGGGUGCGUAGGCGGGUCUUUAAGUCAGGGGUGAAAUCCUGGAGCUCAACUCCAGAACUGCCUUUGAUACUGAAGAUCUUGAGUUCGGGAGAGGUGAGUGGAACUGCGAGUGUAGAGGUGAAAUUCGUAGAUAUUCGCAAGAACACCAGUGGCGAAGGCGGCACACUGGCCCGAUACUGACGCUGAGGCACGAAAGCGUGGGGAGCAAACAGG
rnacentral:rRNA from 1 species